UCUUAUCCUCUGUCAGAUUGCUGAAGGCAUGCUGCCCAACCGGGUGUUCACUAAUAAAAACAAAUUUGACAUCGAACAGACAGUAAACCAUCAGAAUGAUCGACUUUUGGAAUGUAUCUGGCUCCGUUGAGAGUAGAUACAUAAAAAUUCACA